rnacentral:misc_RNA from 1 species
CAACCCCUCAAGCUCAGCUUGGUGUUGGGCUGCGCCAGCGUGCUGGCGGGCCUUAAAAUCAGUGGCGGUGCCGCGUGGGCUCCAAGCGUAGUAGCAUCUCUCGCUCUGGGGACCCGGCGGUUGCCUGCCAGACAAGCACUAAAAAACAAAAG